GGUUUGUAGCAAAUACUCAGUAAGAGUUAACCAUGAUUCUUUUAUGACUCAGAAGGUAUUAUGUAGUGGUUUCUUACAUUUUAGAGUCAUCAUUAGUUAUCUGCCUAUAAAUAUACAUAUAUAUGAAAUAAAUAUCAGGACAUACCAUAUCUAGAAAGAAUACACAUUCUUAUUGUGUGUAAUGUAUAAUUUUUUGGUCUAGGCUAAAUUGUAAAGUAUCAGUUGAUUCUUUAAGUUGGAGUUUUGCACAUAACAUGUAAUAAACAAAUGGAGAGCACACUAUUUAUUCAAUACUAAGAUGCAAUUUUUCUUCUAACAAUUCUCAAUUCUGAAAAUAACUUGUAAUCAAUGUGUAUAAAACUUUUGGUCCCCCAUUCAACAAAUAACUUGUUUUUGGAAUCAUGAAAAUAAUAUUUGGAAAUAUAUAGACACAUAUACACACACAUAUAUAUAGGUGUUAGUGCUAUGGAAUAGAUUCCGACUCCUAGCAACCCUGUGCACGGCAGAGUGGAACGCUGCCCAGUCUUUCUGCGCCAUCCUCUCAACUUCCGGCGCUAUGUCAACAAUGCUUGGUUGUUAUUCAUAGGGGUUUCAUGGCUAGUGUUUUCGAAAGUGAGAGUCCUGGUCCUUCUCCCUAGUCUGUCUUAGUCCGGAAGCUCCACCAAAACCCGUCUAGCAUGGGUGACCCUGCUGGUAUUUGAAAUACUGGUGGCAUAGCUUUCAGCAUCACAGCAACAUGCAGCCACCACAGUAUGACAACAGAAGGUAGUAUGGUUCCCUGACUGGGAAAGGAACCUGGGCCAUGGCAGUAAGAGCAAUGAACCCUAACCACUAGACUACCAGGGCUGGCUAUAUAUGAAUAUAUAUAAUCAAAUACCACCUUUUUACGUGUGUAUAUGUUUGUAUAUAAAGUGGCUUAAUUCAUAAAGAUAUUGAUACAUUUGACCAUAUGAAAAUUAAAAGACAUUUAAAGAAAAUGACAAGACCAGUCACCAAAUGGGAGAAAGUACAUGCAACACACAACUGAAGGUGAUAGCAUCAAGAAUAUAUAAAAAGUCAUACAGAUCAAUAAGAAAAAAAAUAGAAAAAUGGAAAAAAGACAGGACUAAGUAUUUCAUACAAAAGAAACACAUUUGGGGAGCUGGCCCCGUGGCCUAGUGGUUAAGUUCAGCACGCUCCACUUCAGUGGCCCGGGUUCAGUAUCCAGGCAGAGACCUACAUCACUCUUUGGAAGUAUGUUGUGGCGACAACCCACAAACAAAAAAAAAGAAGGGGCCCGCCUGGUGGCGCAGCAGUUAAGUUCGCACGUUCCGCUUCGGCGGCCUGGGGUUUGCCGGUUCAGAUCCCAGGUGCAGACCUAUGCACUGCUUGUCAAGCCAUGCUGUGGCAGGGGUCCCACAUAUAAGGUGGAGGAAAAUGGGCAUGGAUGUUAGCUCAGGGCCAGUGGUCUUCAGCAAAGAAGAAGAGGAUUGGCAGCAGAUGUUAGCUCAGGGCUAAUCUUCCUCAAAAGAACAAACAAACAAAGGAAGGCCAUGCUUAUUCAAAUGAUGAUAGUGUGUCCUGAACCAAGAAUUAUUAUUAAUCCAUUUCCAGGCAUCUGGGGUCCAGAAGAGACGGCAGCUCGUUUUAAAAGAUUAGUGGGUGAGUGCAUUAUUUGCUUUUACGACUUUCCUUGUUGUAUUUUGUGUUGUACUUGGUAUCUUAUGAGAGUUACUCCACAUAUCAUUGCCUUAUUUUUUACAGUAAAUGUCAAAAGAUAAAAUUUCACAAAAUAGAAGAGUGUUUCACAUUUUACAAAAUCUACUAUGGUGAUUGCUGCUGAGUAGGCAACGGACACCAUUGCUGAUGCCUUCAAAGACUCACCAAGUGUUUGGGGAGCUUAAUGAGAUAGCAGAAAUAGCAGACAGAUUUAAAAAACAAAAAAACUAGAGAAGCCUAUUUACUUUCUUUUUCUUUUUGCCAAUCACCUUUAUUUCCCAGAUCACAAGGUGCUGCACACGCCACGGGCUCCAGGUUCCCAGUGAGAGGUACUAAUCAGAUGGAGGAGAAUAAAGUCCACUGUCGAAUUUUAAAAAUGAAAUGUGUAUUUCCAUUUGUAGGUACAAUCAGAAAGAAAAUGUAUCACACAAAAUGGUUUUAAAAAAGACUCUAGAAGAAAGAUUUUGAAAUUCAUGAAUCUUCUAAUUAUUACUACCUACAUUUAGAUUUAAAUGCUAUAGAAAAGCACAGCUUUAGGCAUAUUAUGCUUUGCACUUAGUAAUUUUAAGUAUAAAAUUAAAAUUCGCUAUUGUGAUCAACCAAAUUCCUGGUAAUUGAACAAAGAAUAUAUAAUUUAGAGAUGUAGUAAAUGUCAAUAAAACAUCAUGGGUGACCAAUAUAUAGAACACAAAAACAGAAAGCCAGAAAUUUGAGCCAAGCUAACAAAACCAUUCAUAAUCAUGUAACUAAUUAUUCACUCUACAUAGCAUGGUCUUGACUAAUUCCAGAAAUGGAAAGGCAGAAAUGUUCUCUUCCCAGAACUUUAAGAAGAUGAUGACAACAGACUUGGCCUUGGAUCAUAAUCUCCCAACAGUGCUGUCAAGGAGUUCAGCUGAGGAGCACAUGUGCACGUUUCCUCAAUGGUCACUCCUGGAGCCACGCUUCAAGACUCAUCUGUUCUCACUCAGAGAGCUUUCUAAUUCAAGAGGAGCUAGGAGUGGGGGAUAACAAGUAGGAAAGCAGUUUAAUAAACGCUGUCGAACGUGAAAGCACACUGGCUCUGAGGUCUGCAACGUAAAACCGUGGAGGUCCUGAGGCCCGGCGGCCCACCCUGUUCUCAUUCCUUUCCUGUGCUAACGCUACACUGAAGAAAGUUUUAAUGGUUUGGAGUAAACAGAGCAAGAUUAAAAAGAAAGCUUGUAGAAAAUAGACUCUCAAAAAAUUAAAGACAAUAAUUACUACAUUAAAAAUGCCAUCAUUUGUGCCUUAAUAAUAUGACCUAUCAUAAAAAUGCCAUUUUAAUUGUUUUACCAUCU
ensembl:lncRNA